AGCGAACGCUGGCGGCAGGCCUAACACAUGCAAGUCGAACGAACCCUUCGGGGUUAGUGGCGGACGGGUGAGUAACACGUGGGAACGUGCCUUUAGGUUCGGAAUAACUCAGGGAAACUUGUGCUAAUACCGAAUGUGCCCUUCGGGGGAAAGAUUUAUCGCCUUUAGAGCGGCCCGCGUCUGAUUAGCUAGUUGGUGAGGUAAAGGCUCACCAAGGCUACGAUCAGUAGCUGGUCUGAGAGGAUGACCAGCCACAUUGGGACUGAGACACGGCCCAAACUCCUACGGGGGGCAGCAGUGGGGAAUCUUGCGCAAUGGGCGAAAGCCUGACGCAGCCAUGCCGCGUGAAUGAUGAAGGUCUUAGGAUUGUAAAAUUCUUUCACCGGGGACGAUAAUGACGGUACCCGGAGAAGAAGCCCCGGCUAACUUCGUGCCAGCAGCCGCGGUAAGAC
rnacentral:rRNA from 1 species